GAUCCUGGCUCAGGACGAACGCUGGCGGCGUGCUUAACACAUGCAAGUCGAACGGAAAGGCCUAAGCUUGCUUGGGUACUCGAGUGGCGAACGGGUGAGUAACACGUGAGUGAUCUGCCCUCAACUUCGGGAUAAGCCUGGGAAACUGGGUCUAAUACUGGAUAGGACCAUCCUUUAGUGUGUGAUGGUGGAAAGUUUUUUCGGUUGGGGAUGAGCUCGCGGCCUAUCAGCUUGUUGGUGGGGUAAUGGCCU
rnacentral:rRNA from 1 species